rnacentral:rRNA from 1 species
GUGACCUCAAAUCAGGUAGGACUACCCGCUGAACUUAAGCAUAUCAAUAAGCGGAGGAAAAGAAACUAACAAGGAUUCCCCUAGUAACUGCGAGUGAAGCGGGAAAAGCUCAAAUUUAAAAUCUGGCAGUCUUUGGCUGUCCGAGUUGUAAUCUAGAGAAGUGUUAUCCGCGCUGGACCGUGUACAAGUCUCCUGGAAUGGAGCGUCAUAGAGGGUGAGAAUCCCGUCUUUGACACGGACUACCAGGGCUUUGUGAUGCGCUCUCAAAGAGUCGAGUUGUUUGGGAAUGCAGCUCAAAAUGGGUGGUAAAUUCCAUCUAAAGCUAAAUAUUGGCGAGAGACCGAUAGCGAACAAGUACCGUGAGGGAAAGAUGAAAAGAACUUUGGAAAGAGAGUUAAACAGUACGUGAAAUUGCUGAAAGGGAAACGCUUGAAGUCAGUCGCGUUGUCCAGGGAUCAACCUUGCUUUUGCUUGGUGCACUUUCUGGUUGACGGGUCAGCAUCAAUUUUGACCAUUGGAAAAAGAUUAAGGGAAUGUGGCAUCCUUGGAUGUGUUAUAGCCCUUGGUUGCAUACAAUGGUUGGGAUUGAGGAACUCAGCACGCCGCAAGGCCGGGUUUUUAACCACGUACGUGCUUAGGAUGCUGGCAUAAUGGCUUUAAUCGACCCGUC